rnacentral:rRNA from 1 species
UACGUAGGCAGCAAGCGUUGUUCGGAAUUACUGGGCGUAAAGGGCGCGUAGGCGGUCUUAUAAGUCUCGUGUGAAAUCCCUCGGCUUAACUGAGGAACUGCACGGGAUACUGCAAGACUUGAGAUCGGGAGAGGGAAGCGGAAUUCCGGGUGUAGCGGUGAAAUGCGUAGAUAUCCGGAGGAACACCGGUGGCGAAGGCGGCUUCCUGGACCGACACUGACGCUGAGGCGCGAAAGCUAGGGGAGCAAACGGG